GGGCGGGUAGCUCAGUUGGUAGAGCACUUGACUGAAAAUUAAGGGGUCACCGGUUCAAGUCCGGUCCCGCCCACCA
rnacentral:tRNA from 1 species